UACGUAGGCAGCAAGCGUUGUUCGGAAUUACUGGGCGUAAAGAGUGUGUAGGCGGUUCUCUAAGUUCCGUGUGAAAUCUCCCGGCUUAACUGGGAGGGUGCGCGGAAGACUGGAGGGCUGGAGUAUGGGAGAGGAAAGCGGAAUUCCUGGUGUAGCGGUGAAAUGCGUAGAUAUCGGAAGGAACACCGGUGGCGAAAGCGGCGCGCUGGGCCUCUUCUGACGCUGAGGCGCGAAAGCCAGGGGAGCAAACGGG
rnacentral:rRNA from 1 species